GUUACCACAGAGAUCACAUAUAAUAUCCCAAGGUUAUAACAUUCUAGUUUAAAAUUUUUUUUAACAUUUAUUUAUUAUUGAGAGACAAAGAGAGACAGAGCAUGAGCAGGGGAGGGGCAGAGAGAGAGGGAGACACAGAAUCCGAAGCAGGCUCCAGGCUCUGAACUGUCAGCACAGAGCCUGACGCAGGGCUUGAACUCACGAACCGCGAGAUCAUGACCUGAGCUGAAGUCGGACGCUUAACCGACUGAGCCACCCAGGUGCCCUCAUUCUAGUUUAAAUUUAUACCAGUUCGACAUCAACAACACACAAAACCCCGCUCUUUUACGGCUCUGUCCUCACCCCAUUUGGUGGCUAGUGUCACAGAAUUACAUCUUUAUGCAUGUGUGCCAAGGGGAGUGGGUGGGGCACGGAUAGCUGCUACUGUGCCAAGAGCUAAAAAUGACCAAAGUUAACUGCAAUUGAUCAUCCAAGCCUUCCCCUGACCAUUGCAGGGCCUUCAGUAGACUCCAGAGUUCUGGAAUAGUUAGGUCAGACAGAUUCUGUCGGUACAAUUGUUGCCUGGAUAGGGAGAGAGAUUUCUAGUGCUUUCCAUGCUACUCUCUUCCCAGACUCUCAGUGGUGUUUUCUUUUAUAAAAACUUCUUUCUGGAGAGUGGAACCUACACUAAUUGAGGCCCUUCUUGCUAAGGACAUCUCUAAUACAAGAGACAAUUUUGCAUUCCCUUUUCAUUAAAAAUCUGUACCUAGAUAAAAUUUCCAAUCUGAUCCCAAAUCCAUUGUGGAUGGUCACACGAAACUCUUUAUAUUGUCUCCACCAUCACCCACAGCUCCCCUGUUGGCAUUUAUCCUCGGAAGAAUGAAGUUCUGUUGUGCUCAUUUCAUGCAAAUUAUCACCGGCAGAAGAGAGGAGGAAGAUUUCCAGAUAGAGAGACCCACAAGAUAACCCCAGAGUCGUUAGACACAGGAGCAGAUGUACAGGGCGUGCUUGACUCAUACUCAAGGUUGCAUAAGAAACAUUAUUUCCUUCUUCUGCACACCAAGUUUCUACCUCCAGCUCUCUUUGGUUCAGUUGCUGGGAAGCCUGACGCUCCAGGGCCACUUGGGAGAAGCCAUCCACUGGUGAGUUGUGGGUGCUUUUUUUUUUUUUUCCAUUAUUUUAUGAGUCACAGGCUGAAAGCAUCCCGAUGCUGGAGAUGUAGGGAUGGGAGCACCCUGAGGGCUGCAUAGCCCAGGCUCCUGGGGGAUCGUCUUCAUGGAGGAAAGGGUGGAGGGUGGUGUAUGCACCAGGAUCAUUGGAGAGGCUCUGAUAGCAGUGAACAAGUUCAGAGUAGGCUGAGGCCCCCCCCCCCCCCCAAACGGGGCUCAGGUGAGAGGACAGCACGCUGAAGAAGACAGGAGAGUAAGGAUGCUCAGGCUACUGCCCCUCACUCUGCCCUCCCCAGCCUCCAAGGGCUUGAAAGAACUGGAACUUUCUAUCCCAAAUACUACCCGCCCCCAUAUUCCAUAUAUGUGAUGGUCCAGGCCCUGAACCACAAUGGGCCCCUUGCCUCAAUUCAGGACAGCCACGGAGGCUGAAGUGAGGAACCUCUUUUUCUGAGAGGCGGCUUUUUACUGAUUCAGGAUGUGUCUUGCCACUUGAAAGCGGCACCUUGCUAAGUGUCUGCUGUGCUAGGAGCUAGGUGUGUUGGAGUGACUGGGGAGAAGCAGUGUGGGAAGAGGCGGCUGGUAGUUGAGAAGCCAGUGCAGGUAAACAAAGCGGAGGGGAGGCAAGGUGGAAGCGGUCAGAGCAACCGACUUCCUCGCGCUCCAUCCUCUCCCCCCACCAACCCCCGUUCUGAACCACCAGAGGGUCUGGGUUGUGCAUUUCUGACUACAGAUUUCCUGUGUGCUGCUGAAGCCCAGCCUUUGAGAACCAUGGGUCUACUGCACACUUUCCUACCCAGAUGAGGAGGCUAACCCUGUGGUUGGUUACAGAAUAGCCCAGAGGGUGUGUUGCAGUUAAGGGGCUGUGUGCAAGGACCCCCCUAUCAAGUCUCCCGCUGCAUUACCUGGGAGGCUAGUCCACAGUGGGGCAUCGCGUUUCUCGGUAGCUUGCAGCCUGCUAGUUUUCUGUCAUUCAUUUACCGAAAUGGUAUUUCUUCAGCAGCCUCUGGGUGCCAGCUCAGGCUCUGGGGCACCAAGAUCUGUCUUUGCAAGGCGAAUCCCUAAGCCCUCAUGGUGUUUAUUUUCUAGUAAAGUGUGUGUGUGUGUGUGUGUGUGUGUGUGUGUGUGCAUGCGUACGCGCAUGAGUGGGGCAUGCUCGUGUGGGUGAGUGUGUGGGCUUUAAAUCCAAAUGCCAUAGAAGUUCUAUUCAAGGCAUGCAAGGAUACCUAGAAAAUUGUUACCGGUUCUGCAUCCGUCUCUGCGCUCCCAGCCUGGGAAUAGAAGCUCCUGGGGUCUUUUUGUAACUGAAGAGCCCCGCGUUCAACAUCCAGUUCAGCUAUCACUUGUCCUGUGAAUCUGGGGAAGUCGUUUAACUCAUCCGUGCCCAAAUUUCGAAUUUCUGCACUGUAAAGAUGUGUGAACACGUGCUCACAAAAUUAUUGCCAAGAGUAAAUUAAUUAACGCGGGCAAAGCACGUAGCACAGCACCUGGAGCUCCAGGAGCCCUCAGUUUAACGAUCCCAGGUGUCCUCCUUGUGGUGGAUACGUUGUUUUUCUUCCCAAGCUGGAUUAAAGGUUUUAUUUAGUUGCUGCAGAUUUCCAAGAAUCUGGCUUGGUGAAAUGCAAAACCUAGGAGAAGUAUCGAUCACAAGAGAAACUGAAGAAUAAGGGCGUGCACAAAGAGAAAAACCAAUUCCCAGCCACUACCAGGAAAAAGAAUCGACUUUCUUGAGACUAUUGAUGUUAGAUGUCAGACUCAGUAUAAAGACUUUCACGCUGCCUCCUGUAGCCAGAGGCUACCCUAAGAGCUGGGGACAGGAACAUGAGCUGGACCUCAGGGAGCACACGAUGGAAGAUGGUGUGAUAAGGGCCUGUCGAGAGGCAAGCACGGUUUUAUGAGACGCUCUCGAGUGAUUGAGAGGGGAGGCGGGUUUGGCUUCACAGAGAAGGGGAAUCGGAGCAGCUGGCGGAUGGCUGGGAGUUCACGACUCUAGGCUAGGACAUUGCCUUUGAGGUCCCGCCACAUACAAAUCGUGGGGCUGCUGGCGGUUUUCAGCAGAGGAGCGCCCGAUCUCCCAGCGCGGUGCUGGGCAAGACAGGUGGAAACGGAGCGUGGUCAGGAGCAAGCCGCGUGCAAGGCGAGACGACGGCAACGAUGAGGCGAGCAGCGUCCGAGGCCAGGCGGUAGGGGCUGGCAGGGGGGCCAGACCCGGCGGUGUUUACGAGGUGAAGGUCACUAGACGCGACAGAGGUCGCACAGAGCCCGUCCCUGCUCCGGGCGCUGCGCUCGGUCCUCCUCUUCGCUCACCUCUGCGGCCACUCAGCAGAGCUAGCGUUUUAUACAUUAAGAAACUGCGAAUUGAGGAAGUAGUUAGCCCCAAAUACCACAACUCGUAAGUCGUUGGAGGCAGGAUUUGAACCUGGGUCUGUUGGUUCCUGAGGCCUGCUCCCAGGCUUCUGAAGACGAGGGACCCGGGACAAUGCCCACUCCCGCUUCCUGGACAGUCAAGGAUAGUAGCCAAGAUAAGGAGCCCACCAGCUGAAGGACGCUUCCGGGGGUGUUGGGUUCGGGGUGGGUUGAAUGUGAGGUACCUGUGUGAUGCCCACUUUGCUCACUGCUGUAUCUCCACUACCUAGAAUGCAGCAUGGCUCACAGUAGGUGCUCAAUAAAUGCUGGUCAAAUGAGUGAGUUCUUACAUGCAGGAGGCAGUAGGAAACUCAACUCUGAGAGGUAGGGGUUGAAAGUUGAGACCAGAAGCCAGCGCAUUGGCAUUCGGGGGGCCUAAAACCUUGUAAUUACACCACACGAGUCAGCAAGAACUUUGGGGUGAGAAUAAAGAGAAUGGGUAACGAGGCGGCAGCCAAGGAUCGUGCCCGGGGAUUCUCGCAGUGUAGACGGGGGAAGGAGACACCAAAGAAGAAAAUGAAUAAGAAGGUGCGAGACAGGCACUAACCUCCCGGAAGCCAGGCGAGUUUGUGUUUUUUUCCCAAAUGUUUAGUAAUUUUGAGAGAGGGAGGGAGGGGCAGGGAGAGAGAGAGAGAGAGAGAGAGAGAGAAUCCCAAGCAGGCUCUGUGCCAUCAGCACAGAGCUCGAGGCGGGGCUCGACCUCACAAACCGAGAUCACGACCUGAGCUGAAGUCAACAGUAAGAUGCUCAACCGGCUGAGCCCCCCAGGA
ensembl:lncRNA